rnacentral:rRNA from 1 species
AGUGAACGCUGGCGGUAGGCCUAAAACAUGCAAGUCGAACGGCAGCACAGUAAGAGCUUGCUCUUACGGGUGGCGAGUGGCGGACGGGUGAGGAAUACAUCGGAAUCUACUUUUUCGUGGGGGAUAACGUAGGGAAACUUACGCUAAUACCGCAUACGACCUACGGGUGAAAGCAGGGGAUCUUCGGACCUUGCGCGAUUGAAUGAGCCGAUGUCGGAUUAGCUAGUUGGCGGGGUAAAGGCCCACCAAGGCGACGAUCCGUAGCUGGUCUGAGAGGAUGAUCAGCCACACUGGAACUGAGACACGGUCCAGACUCCUACGGGAGGCAGCAGUGGGGAAUAUUGGACAAUGGGCGCAAGCCUGAUCCAGCCAUACCGCGUGGGUGAAGAAGGCCUUCGGGUUGUAAAGCCCUUUUGUUGGGAAAGAAAAGCAGCAGGUUAAUACCCCGCUGUUCUGACGGUACCCAAAGAAUAAGCACCGGCUAACUUCGUG